rnacentral:lncRNA from 10 species
UUACCUAGGAAACCAUGAAAGGAAGACUCAACAUAAUUUAAAGAUGGCACCUUACAAAAAGAACUCUCAAUAGACAAGAAGAGGAGGCAGUAAUAAACAAUUAUUUUCAAGACAGAGUUACCUAAAAUCUUUCCUUGGUUUCUUACCGGCUACAGGACACUUUUCAAACUCUUUGGUUUCACUUUGACAAACUUGCUUCUUGCAAUUCUCCUAAGGUUGUGUGUAUACAACCACGUGGGAUGUGGUGAAUUUAGUCGGCCACAAUGUAAUAGUCUCUUCUCUAUACAUAAAAUUAGAUUACUAAAAUCCCUAUGUAAGAAACUUACAAUCCCGCCAGGGAAAAUUA